UCAAACACCGGCUCCCGUGCGAUCACUAAAAUUAAGCAACAUCGAACCUGGCUAGUACUUAGAUGGGUGACCACUUGAGAAUACUAAACGCUGUAAG